GUUUUCUUAAGUGGUCUACAUCAUGUUGUGCAAUUUAAAUAUAUACAAUUUAUGCAAAUAAAAGAGAACCAUUCACUUUAAAUAGACUAUUCUGAGCACUCUUGUACUCAUGCAGUAGUUGUAGCCAAGGAUCCCAGUUGGAGAAUAGCUCUGCAGAAACCCUCUUAAGAAUAAAAACCUGUCUCCCUGGCCGCUGACAUGGAAUGUAAGCGUAGAAAAGUAGGUAGGUCCCCUGAACUGAGCUCCUUCACAGAGUUCUCCUGCACCCGUGGGGACCACAGGUGAGUCUACACUGCCUAAUCCUAGGAUCCACAUCUGGGAGAACAGACCAAGUUAAUUUCACCCAGGACAACUGACUUUUCUCUUUAUUAAUUCCUUAUUUAGCUGAAGUAUAAAUAUUAUUAAACAUUUGCUUAUGAACUGCCAGAGCACCAUGCUGUUCAACAGAUGAGCUGCUACGACUCCCCUGUCUUAAUCCAGCCCAGAUCUCAGUGGAAACCUAACACCACUCUAGUGACCCUGGAACUGCACCAGUGCCUCACAUCACCAAAUAAGCCUGGAUCCCGAAACCCAGCUAGCAAGAAGCUGUUGACUGGGGAGACAGGUCAACUUCCAAGUGUCAUUCAGCCAGGAGUCUUCCCACCUACAGAAACCAGCAACUAAAGGAACUAUUCCACAUUGGACUCCCAUUGCCUCUCUACUUUAUUCAUGUUUAAUGCAAUUUGUGUCUGAUUGAACCCGUACACCUUGUGCCUGCCCUGGAUUCAUCCUUCUCCAGAAGCACUUGCCACUGGGUCAACUCUUCCAGGACUGAUCCUGUUAAAGUGAGUGAGACUUCGUCAGAACGGGGCUUCUCUUGGCCUGUUUCCUGGGGAACAGGAUACAUUGGCUUCAGAGAAUUGACAGUGUGCAAGUGUUGCGAUAAAUGUGGGAGUGGGGUAAAAUAGAUCUUACAGGAAGCUCAAAGAAACUGAGCUACUCUAAGCCAGUCGCAGAGUGGUGUUGCUUCAAAAUUAUAGGGAUUGACUUUCAAAAUUGUUGAAGAGCAAUUGAUUUUUAUUAUGAAUUUUAUUGGAGAGGCGGCAUAAAAAUUUCUAAAAAUUUGCAGAGUUCUUCCCAGAGGAAAACUUCCUAAUGCUCCCUUGAAGCCAUUUUCUCACUGCAGCUGUUCCUAUUCAUUCCAUCCCCCCACCCCAUCCACCAGGCACAGCUCCUUCCCCCUAGUUAUACACUCCCAGUCACCAACUCCUCUGAAGGUCUCAGGCAAUAUGCCCUCCAGGAACCUCUCCACCCAGUUCUUUCACACCUCCUCUCCCAUAAAUAAUAGCCCCUGAGAGGUACAGUCCCUUUCUACUUGGUCUUAUUUGGUUUUGCUAAGAGUAGCCAGUUAGGAAUUCUGGUUCAUCCUAGAAAAAAAUACUUGUUGAUCACCUAUCGUACCCAGCUGUAGAUUCAUUACACAUAGAAAUUAGGUUGGGGUGGAAGGAGACCACUGUGGCUUACCUGGGAUCAAUAUCUGUAUGAGUUUUGUCCAGUAGAAUUUACUGAUAGUUCAAAGGAUAUCACUGUGAAUUGAAUACAUUUCUUGAAAGAGCAUUUAAAAAAAAAGUUAUAAGAAGAAUUUUUUUUUCAUUUUGUUUUGUUUUGGGAGAUUUAAAUUUUA
rnacentral:lncRNA from 1 species